GCACCCACGGAGCCGGAAUCCUGUUCAUACCUCUGCCAACGCCAUCCUCCAACUGCUGUGACGAAUUCUUGUGCCUCCACCUGGGCCUGGGAUCAGUUCCUAAGAAGCCUCAGAGUGUUUUUAACCAACGUGAGGAGUUUUUUCCAGAUCAGUCUGUCCGGAAAGAGUUCUUCUCAACAGGAUUGUUAAGGUGUGUCUGUUAAAACACGGAUGGAGACAACUCUCUUUUGAUGCUUAUUACACUCAAGCAACGUGCAACCUAGCUGACAGACGUAAGAUGUCCUUAAAGAGACGGCUGCUGUCCAUGUUGUUGUGCUGUGUUUAUUGCGUGGCCUCGCUCUUCUGUCUCCACCCAAACCGCAACAACUGCUUCUCCAUGGGAGCUCGGAAUCUGUUGUCAGUCGUUCAGCAGCUUUACCAGCGUGCUAUUCGACUGCUCCGCACCACUCUGUGAUCCACAGCGCUGCCUGUGUUUCAACCACCAACCAACAACUCCGGACCUGUCCUGCCACUGCGGCCACUGUGGUUGUGGUCAAGCAUGUCCACCAGUAGGGCAUCACCAAUUUAAAACAAUACGAAACAGAGAAAGAGGAAUGGUUUCAAUCCACUCAUGGACUUUCAGUUUUCUCUGACUUGGGAUCCAAUUGCCCUGUUGUGUUCACUACUGCAAUUCUCUAACUAUAUUUUAGAUGAAGGGGCGAGGAGUAUCUGAAAAAGUUAAUUUUUUUACUGACGUGGAUUAACAUUGGGGUUUCUGCUGUGUGAUAUGCGAGUGAAGUGGAAAAGACAUUGUCAAUGAAAUGCAUUUUGAGGGUUCACUGUGAGCUUGGCUGCUGGACUGUACACUGCAACAGCAGAAGAAUGAAGGUUAAAGAAACAGCCUUGUAACCAAGGGGUUGUUGGUUAAUAUUUGUGGACACGCUGGCAGUAUUGUUGUAGUAAUCCAAAAGUCAACAUGCAUGAAUUAAUGUUCAUGGUUCAAGGUCUUAAAGGAGACUGGGUCAAAAAGGUACUUGAGAAUAAUCAGAUCCAAUCCAAAAUGCAGUCAACCCAAACAGACCCAAGCAGAGAGAGAGAGAGAGAGAGAGCACUAGCACUGGCAGCAGUAGCAUUCCCCAUCGAUUAAGGAGCAGCCAUAAUCAAAUUAACUAGCAAUUCAUGUUAUUAUCCACUGAAACACUAUGUGAUCAGAACUGAUAGUGAGUACUCUCAAGACCUGAGUCAUGCACCAAUACCACCAGGCGCUAGUGUGACCAGUUAUGGAGUUUUUCCACUACAUGGUACCUCCUGGACUGGCCUUGACUCUGUUCGCCUUCUUAUAUUUUCCGUAACAAAAAAAAGUCCCUGGUACCUGCUAACAGGUACUUUUUUUAGUAUCACCUCAGUUAAGGUUCCACGCGAGCUGAAGCAAUACCAAAAGUUGACGUGAAUACCUGCAGACUACUACGGAGAGAAUCGUCACUAUUCACUACGUCAUCAUUGCUAGCAACAGACGGGGGUGUCUUGAACAAACCCAGCAUGUUUAAGUAGUUUAGCCAGCAUCAUUUUUUUAAACUAAAUUUGUCCUCUGGUUGUGGCAACAGCCACAUGCCGAGAAUCAAAGACAACACACAUUUGUUGUUCUGUGUACUGUACGUGUCACGGCAGUUUCCUGCUAUGAUGACCCACCACGCUCUCCUCACACAUGAGGCGGUACUAAGCUGCAAUGGAAAAAGGAGGAUGGGGCGCCGCAGUCGAGUUGAGUCGAGUCGAGCAUUGGAGAACCAAGAUGACCCAUGAAGACUUUAAUAUGCCACAUCAACACUUAACUUGGGCUUUGCAAGUGCACAGUUGUACAUAAUGUGUCCUUACCUCCCGGUGUAAGAGCUCUACGGGGGAAAUACAGCAAGAGACACAUCAAAUUCUGACACAUAGAAAAGGGAACCAUAUGCACCAAGACAGCUUUGCCUUGUUUUUGUUGUAAUGUCAUUUACAACUAUAUGUAGGAUAUGUUUUAGAUUUAAAUGGCAUUUUGAACUGCCAAACAGUUUUCUAUACAGACAUUACUGCUGUGUAGCUGCCUGUCCCCAUUAAAUGACAGACUAGGUCAAGGCAUAUGAGCUGACUGAUGGCUUUACUGGCAGAAUGAAGACUGCCUGCAGCUGUCAUUUGGCAACUAAAACCACUUCACAGACCCUUCCACACAUGCACUGCAACCCUGAAAUUAUUUAGACAUUAACCAGAGGAUCUGUAUGUGAGAACCCAAAAGUCAGAAUCAGUUGGACCGGACAUUAAAUGGACUUUACUCUGCCAGCUCCCUGGUACAACGUCUGUGCAAUCUCCAGUUUAGCCCAUGUGUGAACAGAGCAGUUGGUUCAAAACCCAAAGAAAGGACACGUCCACAAAUGAAGAAGGAAGACAGCAACAAAAAUAUCAAACUGGAGAGACAUUGAGAUUCAGGAAUUUCUGUUGGUAAGGGCCAUGGCUGAACUUUUUCAACAAAUUUAAAUAACAGCAAGAGACUUGUUUGUUUUUGACCAUUUUCACAAACUGACUACAUGACAAUACAAUACAUCUACGUCAUGUCCUGCCUUCUGAAUGCUCUUGCGAGCACAGCCCCUCACCUAAACACGAGUAUUUCUAGUGAGAAUGUGUCUGACAUUUCUGUUGUGUGAUAUGAAAAAGGGCAAUAUCAUUAUUUACUAAAUAGAAAGAUCCACUCCAAUGUUCACUCCAAUAAAACAAAACACAUU